GGAUGGAUGUCUGAGCGGUUGAAAGAGUCGGUCUUGAAAACCGAAGUAUUUAUAAGAAUACCGGGGGUUCGAAUCCCUCUCCAUCCG
rnacentral:tRNA from 3 species